UACGAAGGGGGCUAGCGUUGUUCGGAAUUACUGGGCGUAAAGAGCGUGUAGGCGGCCCGAUAAGUCCGCUGUGAAAGUCCAGGGCUCAACCCUGGAAUGCCGGUGGAUACUGUCGGGCUCGAAUCCGGAAGAGGUGAGUGGAAUUCCGUGGUGUAGCGGUGAAAUGCGCAGAUAUCAGGAGGAACACCGGUGGCGAAGGCGGGUCUCUGGGCCGAUAUUGACGCUGAGGAGCGAAAGCGUGGGGAGCGAACAGG
rnacentral:rRNA from 1 species